AUGCUUUGGCAGCACAUAUGUUAAAAUUGGAACAAUAGAGAGAAGGUUAGCAUGGCCCUUUCACAAGGAAAGCAAAAUAAAAUAAAAUAAAAUAGAGUUUAUU